rnacentral:rRNA from 1 species
CGCCCCGGUAAAGGAGCACCCCGGGAACUGGGGAUAAUUCCCGAUAGGUGAAGAUCCCUGGAAUGGGUUUUCGCCCAAAGGACGUUUAGGUCAUGCUUCUAGGCGUUGUUCAAGGAUGGGGCCGCGGCCGAUCAGGUUGUUGGUGAGGUAAUGGCUCACCAAGCCUUUGACCGGUUCGGGCCGUGGGAGCGGUAGCCCGGAGAUGGGCACUGAGACAAGGGCCCAGGCCCUACGGGGCGCAGCAGUCGCGAAAACUCCGCAAUGCGCGAAAGCGUGACGGGGCUACCCCGAGUGCCGUCCGCUGAGGAUGGCUUUUCCCCGGUGUAAUGAGCCGGGGGAAUAAGGAGAGGGCAAGUCUGGUGUCAGCCGCCGCGGUAAUACCAGCUCUCCGAGUGGUAGGGAUGAUUAUUGGGCUUAAAGCGUCCGUAGCCGGCUCAGCAAGUCUCCCGUUAAAUCCAGCGACCCAAUCGUUGGACUGCGGGAGAUACUGUUGGGCUAGGAGGCGGGAGAGGCCGGCGGUAUUCUCGGGGUAGGGGUGAAAUCCUAUAAUCCCGGGAGGACCACCAGUGGCGUAGGCUGUCGGCUAGAACGCGCUCGACGGUGAGGGACGAAAGCUGGGGGAGCGAACCGGAUUAGAUACCCGGGUAGUCCCAGCCGUAAACGAUGCGGGCUAGGUGUUAGGGUGGCUACGAGCCACCUUAGUGCCGCAGGGAAGCCAUUAAGCCCGCCGCCUGGGGAGUACGGCCGCAAGGCUGAAACUUAAAGGAAUUGGCGGGGGAGCAC